rnacentral:lncRNA from 1 species
CUGGCUCUUCCUCUGUUUGUCUUUCCUUGCUCCCCUCACAGCCCGUCCAUAGCCCUGAAUAACCUGUGGUGCAGGUUGCGGCAGGAGAGAACACAGAUGUGCUUAGGGAACGUCAAUAAUUCCAUUCCACGGAGCCCUCCAUCCAAGAAGAUACAUAGUCUUAAUCUCUAAGGACCAGCAUGACCGGCUGGUUGAGGUUUCUCAGAAGAUACUCCCCGACAGCCGGUCCACCACAGGACCCACAUUGAGGUGCAGCUGACCACUACAACCAGUACAAUUAGUCCAGUUUCAUGGGUGGACUCUCCAGUCCUCACUGCAAGGCACUUUAAAGGUGGACCUGAGAAAUGUCCC